rnacentral:rRNA from 1 species
UACAGAGGGUGCGAGCGUUGUUCGGAAUUAUUGGGCGUAAAGGGCGCGUAGGCGGUGCCACAAGUCACUUGUGAAAUCUCCGGGCUUAACUCGGAGCCUGCAGGCGAAACUGUGGUGCUGGAGUGUGGGAGAGGUGCGUGGAAUUCCCGGUGUAGCGGUGAAAUGCGUAGAUAUCUGGAGGAACACCGGUGGCGAAGGCGACAUCCUGGACCGGUAUUGACGCUGAGGCGCGAAAGCCAGGGGAGCAAACGGG